UACGGGGGGUGCGAGCGUUAAUCGGAAUUACUGGGCGUAAAGCGUGCGCAGGCGGUUUGUUAAGUCUGAUGUGAAAGCCCCGGGCUCAACCUGGGAACUGCAUUGGAAACUGGCAAGCUCGAGUAUGGCAGAGGGGGGUGGAAUUCCGCGUGUAGCAGUGAAAUGCGUAGAGAUGCGGAGGAACACCGAUGGCGAAGGCAGCCCCCUGGGCCAAUACUGACGCUCAGGCACGAAAGCGUGGGGAGCAAACAGG
rnacentral:rRNA from 1 species